rnacentral:lncRNA from 1 species
AUGCUCUUCUUCUUGUUCUAUGCUUUUAUGGUGACGGGUGUGCUCUCUCAAGCACCCCCAACCCCACCAAUUUCUCUAACCGUAGAUCAGUCCGGCAAUGGUGACUACACUAAAAUACAAGACGCCAUUGACGCCGUGCCUUCUAACAACGCUGCGCGUGUGUCUAUUUUGGUUCGACCUGGUGUCUACCAAGAAAAAAUUUAUGUGCCUGUAGACAAACCCUUUAUAACAAUGAGUGGCACAAACACAGAGCAUACCAUAAUAACAUGGAACCAAGCAGGAUGGAUAAAUCAAACCUCAGUCUUCACUGUGUGGGCUUCUGAUUUCAUAGGGCGCCAACUCACAAUUCAGGUAUAUAUAGAGUCUUGAUUUUAUAGACUACGAAUUAUAUAUAUAUAUAUAUAUUGUUUGAACACAUAAUUAAUUUUACUUAAUUUGAAUUGGUGAGUGCAGAAUACAUAUGGAACCGGUGACAAAACAGUGGCACUAAGAGUAUCAGGAGACAGAGCAGCAUUCUAUGGGUGCAGAAUUUUGUCUCAUCAAGAUGCCUUAUUCGACGAGAUUGGCAAGCACUACUACAAAGACUGCUACAUUCAAGGAGACACUGAUUUUAUAUUUGGAAGCGCUGAUUCUUUAUAUGAGGUAUACAUUUAAUUACUUCAUUAUUAAUUAAAUAUUAAUUAGUAUAUAUGGAGAUUAACUAAGUGAUUAAUUUGCAGAAUUGUCACUUGCAUACACUUUCGGGUCAAAACGGCGCUAUAACGGCCCAACGGAGGACUUCUCCUUUAGAGGAAUCUGGGUUCACCUUUUUGUGGUGCAACAUAACCGGCGUCAAAACGGCACUCCUGGGAAGGCCAUGGGGGCCAUAUGCCAGAGUCGUAUUUGCCUACACUCAAAUGUCAAAUGUAAUUCUGCCACAAGGUUGGGACAGUUGGCGGCUAUCACCCUACAACUUAAGGUAUAUAUUUUUGAGUGCUUAAUUUUUUAAUUACUCUAUUUUAUUUUAAUUUUUGAUAUGUUUGUAAUUUGGUUUUAAUUUAAUGUGUACAUGCGCAUGCAGUAACGUUUUCUAUGGGGAAUACAACUGUUUUGGACCGGGAGCCGUGACAACACAAAGAGUUAAUUGGGCACACAAGCUUACCACCAGAGAAUUUGCACCCUUCAUGGCUCAGGCUAGUGCCCUUCGGCGUACGAUUCUUGGUCGUGACGGAGGAAGAGGGCAACAUGUAGCUCCCACUAUGGUUCGUCCCGGCAGCGGAGGAGGAGGUGGAGGAGAGCAACAUGGAGCUUCCACUCCCAUUGGAAGAGAAGGAAACAAAGCGAAGGAGAAUGAGAGAAAUAGACAAGGCGCUCCACCUCGAGCUCUCACUGCCACGCCUACUCCCAUUGGAGGAGAAGCCGCUCCACCUCGAGCUCUCACUGCCCCGCCCCUUGCCAUUGGAGGAGAAGGCACUCCACCUCUAGUUCUUACGGCCACGCCCCCUCUCAUUGGAGGAGAAGGCACUCCACCUCCAUCUCUCACUGCCACGCCCCCUCCCAUUGGAGGAGAGGGAAACAAAGAGAAGGAGAAUGGGAGAAAUAGCUCAGAGCAGGCUCCCGCUUCCGCUGCAUGGCUCAUCAUUGAGGGGUCGAAUAAUGAUGUGGAACGGAGUAGUGGUUCUCCUCGAGUGGGUGCAGCCCCUCUAGGUCUUCUGGGG